rnacentral:rRNA from 1 species
ACGAACGCUGGCGGCGUGCCUAAUACCUGCAAGUAGAACGCACAGUUUAUACCGUAGCUUGCUACACCAUAGACUGUGAGUUGCGAACGGGUGAGUAACGCGUAGGUAACCUGCCUGGUAGCGGGGGAUAACUAUUGGAAACGAUAGCUAAUACCGCAUAAUAUUGAUUAUUGCAUGAUAAUUGAUUGAAAGAUGCUAUUGCAUCACUACCAGAUGGACCUGCGUUGUAUUAGCUAGUAGGUGAGGUAACGGCUCACCUAGGCGACGAUACAUAGCCGACCUGAGAGGGGGAUCGGCCACACUGGGACUGAGACACGGCCCAGACUCCUACGGGAGGCAGCAGUAGGGAAUCUUCGGCAAUGGACGAAAGUCUGAACGAGCAACGCCGCGUGAGUGAAGAAGGGUUUCGGAUCGUAAAGCUCUGUUGUAAGAGAAGAACGGGUGUGAGAGUGGAAAGUUCACACUGUGACGGUAUCUUACCAGAAAGGGACGGCUAACUACGUG